rnacentral:rRNA from 1 species
UGCAGUCGAACGAUGAACCUCACUUGUGGGGGGAUUAGUGGCGAACGGGUGAGUAACACGUGAGUAACCUGCCCUUGACUCUGGGAUAAGCCUGGGAAACUGGGUCUAAUACCGGAUAUGACCUUCCAUCGCAUGGUGGUUGGUGGAAAGCUUUUGUGGUUUUGGAUGGACUCGCGGCCUAUCAGCUUGUUGGUGGGGUAAUGGCCUACCAAGGCGACGACGGGUAGCCGGCCUGAGAGGGUGACCGGCCACACUGGGACUGAGACACGGCCCAGACUCCUACGGGAGGCAGCAGUGGGGAAUAUUGCACAAUGGGCGCAAGCCUGAUGCAGCGACGCCGCGUGAGGGAUGACGGCCUUCGGGUUGUAAACCUCUUUCAGUAGGGAAGAAGCGAGAGUGACGGUACCUGCAGAAGAAGCGCCGGCUAACUACGUGCCAGCAGCCGCGGUAAUACGUAGGGCGCAAGCGUUAUCCGGAAUUAUUGGGCGUAAAGAGCUCGUAGGCGGUUUGUCGCGUCUGCCGUGAAAGUCCGGGGCUCAACUCCGGAUCUGCGGUGGGUACGGGCAGACUAGAGUGAUGUAGGGGAGACUGGAAUUCCUGGUGUAGCGGUGAAAUGCGCAGAUAUCAGGAGGAACACCGAUGGCGAAGGCAGGUCUCUGGGCAUUAACUGACGCUGAGGAGCGAAAGCAUGGGGAGCGAACAGGAUUAGAUACCCUGGUAGUCCAUGCCGUAAACGUUGGGCACUAGGUGUGGGGGACAUUCCACGUUUUCCGCGCCGUAGCUAACGCAUUAAGUGCCCCGCCUGGGGAGUACGGCCGCAAGGCUAAAACUCAAAGGAAUUGACGGGGGCCCGCACAAGCGGCGGAGCAUGCGGAUUAAUUCGAUGCAACGCGAAGAACCUUACCAAGGCUUGACAUGAACCGGACCGCUGCAGAAAUGUGGUUUCCCCUUUGGGGCUGGUUUACAGGUGGUGCAUGGUUGUCGUCAGCUCGUGUCGUGAGAUGUUGGGUUAAGUCCCGCAACGAGCGCAACCCUCGUUCUAUGUUGCCAGCACGUGAUGGUGGGGACUCAUAGGAGACUGCCGGGGUCAACUCGGAGGAAGGUGGGGACGACGUCAAAUCAUCAUGCCCCUUAUGUCUUGGGCUUCACGCAUGCUACAAUGGCCGGUACAAAGGGUUGCGAUACUGUGAGGUGGAGCUAAUCCCAAAAAGCCGGUCUCAGUUCGGAUUGGGGUCUGCAACUCGACCCCAUGAAGUCGGAGUCGCUAGUAAUCGCAGAUCA